rnacentral:lncRNA from 1 species
UUUUUUUUUUUUUUACUACUCGGAUUUAUUGUUAAAUUCUGAUAGUUUCUUAUUCUCGCAAGUUGAUGAUGUCCUUUAAAAGUUUUUACUGAGCUUGUUUGUCAAAAGGUGUUCGAUAUGACUCAUCGUAUAAAACUCAAUUGUAGAGAGAGAAUGACAUAUUAUCUCGUUAUAUGUUGGAACAGAACUCCACCAUCUAACGAGAUUGUAUCUCCUUUUUUUCUCAACAGCUUUACGUUUUAUAUGAUGAGUCUAUAACGAACACCUUUUCAUAAUAUAAACUCCUAACAGAACUUUUAACGGACAUCUACUUAAAAGAAUAAGAAAAUAUUGAAAUUUAAAAAUAAUAAUCUGGAUUGUGAAAAAAAAAUCUGCAUAAAAAUGAAAUUAAAGACAAUUCCAAGAGAUUGCUGCACAGACAAGUGUAGUUUGGCAUUUCAAGUUUGAAGCGGAUGAGGUGGAUACAUGUUACAACUGUGAGGGUUUGGCUCUUCUGAAUGCAAGGAACGGUACACCCAUAAUUAACAAGAUUGUGACUAAUGAUAUAUGAAUGUCACAUCUGUAACCCUUUAAAUUGAAAGUUUUAUUUUAAAAGUUUUUGCAGCCACGGAAGCUCUUAUAUAUUCUCUGUUCCACUACUUUAAAUUCCAUAAAAUUUCAGAACAUUAUAUAACCUCACUGUUAACAGCUGCAAUAGAAAACAUAGACACAACUGAGCUACAGCUUCACAAUGAAUACAAGAGGAAAAUUUUUACUAGUUUUCACAAAGGUUGUCUAGUGAUGCUGGUGUGUGAUUUGGACACAGAGUGCCAACAUUUCACGAAUAUAAAAGGCUAAUUUGAUUCAAUUAUGAGAAAUCAAUCCACAAUUUGAAGAAUUAAUUUUUUUUUAAAAUAAUUGUGUAUGAUUAAACUGUCACUAUUUUUUAUACUCAGAAUCCUAACACAUAAUUAAAAUUAUGUCAUUUUCUUAAAAAAAAUACCAUCGUUCAGGCAAUUAAAAAAAAAAUCCUAAAACAUAAUUUUGACUUCAAUAAUUGCUCAACAAAUAUUUUGCAAAAGCCAACUCAUUUCACAUUAAUUCACACCUGUCAUCAGAUUAUCCUCAUAUAUAUGCUUCAGAAAACAACAAAUAAAAAUUGCGUCAUUCCUUCAUGUUGGGCAAUUUGCAGCCUCAAGCUCACGGUUCCCUGAUCAUGACUCAUGGCAUGACUCGUGUUCGUUUCACAACUAUCAAUAAUUGCCUCAAGUUUUAAUCUUGCUUGAUCUCUAGUUUGUGUUGAGAACGGUGCUGCAUGCAGCCAUGGAAGCUCUUAGACUCUCCUCGGUUUCACCUUUUUGUAACGCUACAUUCAAACUUGAGUACAAUAAGACCCACUUCACUAAGCCCAAGUUCUUAAGCUUUCAGUUCAGUUCCCUGUCCACUUUAUCAUCUUUCUCAUCAAAACCAUACAAAAUCUUCACCACCUUAUCACCAUCGUCACAAGUUUCAACUGAAGCCACAGACCCACCAGAAAGAGAGCUUGAAACUAACUCACAAGAGGAGAAAUUUGAUUGGUUCUCACAGUGGUAUCCAUUGAUGCCGGUGUGUGAUUUGGACAAGAGAGUCCCUCAUGCAAAGAAAGUGUUGGGGCUUGAUGUCGUGGUUUGGUGGGACAGGAAUGAGAAUGAAUGGAGAGUCUUUGCUGAUGCUUGUCCUCACAGAUUGGCUCCUUUGUCAGAAGGAAGAAUUGAUCAAUGGGGAAGGCUUCAGUGUGUGUAUCAUGGCUGGUGCUUCAGUGGCUCGGGUGACUGUAAAUUUAUCCCUCAGGCUCCCCCAGACGGCCCCCCGGUAACAUCUAUUGCUUCACUUUUGCAUCACAUUCAUAUGUUUUAUUAUGUUUUGUGUUGCUAUAGAUGCUUUUGCGGUUGUCUCGCUUAUGUGUAGAGUGAGAUGCUAUAGUUUUGUCCAAUUAGAAUCUCUUCUAGGCAUAGAGUUUGUUUGUUUAUAAUUGUUGCGCUUCAGCGCGUUUUUUGCCCGAAAGCUAUCCCGGAAGGACUUACAGACUGGAAGUAAUAAAAUAGGUCAAGGGUCUAAUUCCAAGGGGAUACGUUUAAUUCUGAAAGAGCAGUAGCUAAUUAAAUGUUUGGUAAAGCCGCCACACCUCUCAUCUUCAGUUUAAUUGUGAAGGAACAAUGAAAGAUAAGGGGAAUACAUGAAUUAUGAUUCCAUUGCUUGCUUGAUAAAAUUUUGUUUUGAUUUUUCUGCAAUCUAGUUUUGAUUUUUUGUUCUUGCAUGCAGUUGUUGUUAAGAUUUCUACUUUGCUGGGUGGCUGAUUGCUUUAAUUUUUACCAACUUAUUUGUCAAAAUAUGUAGGUCCACACAUUCGAGAAAGCAUGUGCAGCAGUUUAUCCAAGUACCGUCCAGCAUGACAUCGUAUGGUUUUGGCCAAAUAUUGCUCCUCGGUACAAGGAUAUUAUCAAGACUAAGAAACCUCCUCACAUCCCGGAACUAGAUGACCCGUCAUUCACAAAAUUGUUUGGGAACAGAGAUAUACCUUAUGGGUAUGCAAUGAUCCAGUCUUCCAUUUUAAUUUGAGCGAGUUAGCACACGAAAUUCUAGAUUGAAUUUGUACUAUACUGAUAUUUGGCAAGAGUCAUUAAGAAAACUAGUUGAACUUAAGUGUAAUGACAACCUGGUCAAUGCAAGUUAACAACUUUUUCUAAUUGCAAGUAAGUUGCAUUUUCAGUUAUGAGGUCUUAUUGGAAAAUCUUAUGGACCCUGCUCAUGUUCCAUAUGCACAUUACGGAUUGAUGCGUACAAGGAAACCCAAAGGUUGAUAAAUUCCUAGAUAAACCUUGUUCUACGUUUAAGUCAUUUAUAUUCUCUUCGUGAAUAAAACCUAUUAGUUAAUACUAAAUUUUCUUUACAGUGAAGCUCGAUAGAGAAGGGGGAAGACCAGUUGAAAUGAGUGUCAAUAAAAUAGACAUAAAUGGUUUCAUUGGAAAGCAGGAGUGGGGAAGUAGCAAAUUUUUGGCACCUUGUAUCUUUUUUGCUUAUACUGAUCUUAUGAAGGAUCAAGAAAAUGGAUCUGCAUCAUCAGCAGGAGCCGAAAAGGUAAAGGUCAAUAUGUUUCAUUAUGCUCAGCUGACAGUAGAAUUUUGCACUCUUUUCAGUUCUUAUUCUAUGCUGUUUGGGCUUUCUUUUAUCCAUAUACAUUUCGGUUGGUGCAGAAGCUGGAGCAACAAAGAGCAGCUCUGAUUUUUAUUUGUGUUCCAGUUAGUCCUGGUCACAGCAGAUUAAUAUGGGCGUUCCCAAGAAACUUUCAAACUUGGAUAGACAAAGUUGUUCCGCGGUGGAUAUUUCAUAUUGGACAGAAUCUAAUUCUUGAUUCAGAUUUAUACCUGCUUCACGUUGAGGUGAUUCCUGUCUCUGUAUGCUAAAAUAAUUUUAACCUAAAGUUUUUUGAAAAUGCUGAGUGGAUUGGCGUUCAAGUCUACUGCUAGUCUAGGCCUCAAACUCAGAUUUGAGACUCGUCGACCAUUUCAUUUUACUAGAUUGGUUGUGACACCAUCCAAAAAGCAUAUUUUUGUUUUUCUUCUCAAUAGAAGGUAUUCACUUAAAUACUACUCUCCUACAAUAGAAGAAUUUAAUAGAUUCUUUCUUGUUUCUGGCUGUGAAUUACCUGACUUCUGUUUCUCUCUGCAGGAGCGAAAGAUAAUGGAUGUUGGCCCUGCUAAUUGGCAGAAAGCUUGUUUUGUGCCAACAAAAGCCGAUGCCCUGGUAGUUGGUUUCAGGAGGUGGUUAAAAAAAUAUGCCGGUGGCCAAUUCAAUUGGGGAGGGAAAUUCAAUGCGACUCUUCCACCAACACCGCCCAGGGAACAGCUCAUGGACAGGUAUCUGGGCUUCACUUUUAUAAACUUGAACCCCUUAACACCAUGUCAUGGGAUUUUACAGUAGUUCCCAGUUUUGAAACUCAUAUAAAGAGCAGAGGUUUAUGGAUAUUUAAAAGAAGCAUUAUUUGUUUCUUCAAGCUUGAGAAACAUUUUCUUUUGUGUUUUGCCAAAUUUCUUAUGCAAUGCCUUGAAAACGGGAACACUGUGAAGUUUGUUGUGACCCCAUUAAAACAUAAGAUUUCGUACUUAAUUAAAGGAAUUUUAUUCAAAUUUGCAGGUACUGGUCUCAUGUGGUGAAUUGCAAAAGUUGCAAUGCGGCACACAAGAGUCUCAGCGCACUUGAGGUCACGCUACAAGUCGUCUCCAUUGCUUCAAUUGGGAUUGUUGCUACAACCAAGCAGAAUGCCAUGUCAAUGGCUACAAGAACUACAAUCAUCUCAUUUGCAGUAAUCUGCUUUGCGGCUUCAAAAUGGUUGUCUCACUUCAUCUACAAAACCUUUCAUUAUCAUGACUACAAUCAUGCCCUUCGCUGAGCUUAGCAUUUAACGUCGAAAAUUAGAAUAUGUAAAUACAACUUAUUUUUCUGUACGUAAAUACUGGAAUGUAGCUUGUAUGCAAACAUUUUGAUCAAGUGAAAUUAGAAAGUGCAGUUGUAAUAGAAAACAUAUAAUUAUCAUCACCAUUAGCAGUUGUAAUUGUAAGUACAUUAUCAUCACCAUUAACAAUUGCAAGAGAAAACGUAUACACAACUGAACCACGGCUUCAGAAUGAACACAAGAAGAACAUUUUUACUAGUUUUCACAAUGGUAUCUAGUGAUGUUGGUGGGUGAUUUGGACACAGUGUCAUACGCCAUGAAUAUAAAAGGCUAAUUUGAAUCAAUUGCGAGAAAUCAAUCCACAAUUUAAAGAAUUAGUUGUUUUGUUUUUCAAUAAUUUCAUAAGAUUAGAAUUUCACUACUUCAUAUAAUUAGAAUCCUAACACAUAUUCUAUUAAAAAAAGUUCCUAACACCCAGGUUGAUAAAAUUAUACCUUUCUUAAAUAAAAUUCCAUUGUUUAAAUAAUUAAAAAAAGAAAUCCCAAAACAAAAUUGUGACCUUAAUAAUUACUCUACAAAAUUUUUGCAAAAGUCUAACUCAUUACACACUAAUUUACUCCAAUUGAUAAUUUUCUUUUCCUUCCGUUAUCAUGUGUAGUCUCAAUAUUUUCUAACCCAUCAAAAUUAGUUAGUUCAAUAUUGACAUUCUUCUCCUAAAAAUAUGUAUUAUUAUAUUUACUAGCAUAUUAAUUAGAUGGUUAAAUAUCACCAUCAUUUGGUACAAAACCCAUAGAUGGCGCAACAAUAUCUUUAAACAAAAUUUCUAAUUGGUCAACAUUUCUCAAGCCUUUAUAACGAAUUUUAAUUGUUUUGAGAAUCUCCUACAAUAAUACAAAAGGAUUAUGUGUUAAAAAUAUGUCUAAAUUGCUCCUAAAAUCAUUUCCUAGUACACCAAAAAAUAAGAAGGUUAGAAUUUGCAACUUCAAUCCUCUCUCCCAUCAGUCAUCGCUAGUAGUAUUUGUCUGUUUUACAACAUCCCAUCCUAAACCAAUUUCAUUCUCAGCAAGUUUGUCCAAAGUUGCCAAUCUAUUUUAGGAUGUCCCACUUAUUUUUCAAUGUUUCUAUUCAUAAUCUCCAUUGGUCAUAGAAUAAAAAUUAGCAACGAGACUUUUCCACCCAAUCAUAUUAAAGUGACUAUUUGGUUUGAUUCCAAGCUAAUGUCUCACUCAUACAAAUCUUAAUAAAAGCACCAGUGGUAACAUCAUCCCAAUCUGCCUUUGAUUUACUUUUCCUUUGCAACAGUAACGAUUCUAGACAAAGGAUAUGUAAUAUUAUUACAUGAAAAACAUAAUGCACAAAUAAAAUGAAGAUGAAAUGAAUUUCAAAUAUAAAUUAAUAAUUGGCAUGCAUUCUUGAAUAAGAUAAUAAAAAGAAGAAUGAAAACUGUAGCAAGUAUCAAAUAUCAAAUAGUAGCAUAGUGAAAUGUGUUCAUCAUAUUUCUAAUAAACUAGAUUUAUUUUAACAGUGAUGAGGGAAACAUCGAUGCCUGCUAUGCACCUCACCAAAGUUGUGACAAUGAGUUUUCUAUCAAAUGAUGGCAAUAAUUUAUUUUGUGUAAGGUUUUGUAUAAAAUAAGUAAAGCGGCGGCAAUCUCAUUAGAACCAAAAAAAAAGAGAAGUAGCAGCAGUUAGUUUUUUAUCAAAUGGUGGCAAUUAAUUGUUAUUAUGUAGGUUUUAUAUAUAAAUAAGGGUAUUAUGUAAUUAAUGAAAUGUUCUUCAGGAAUUGUUGAUAUAUAUAUAUGUAUUUAAAAGUUCUUUAAUCUCCAUUCAUAAAAGCUCAAAUUCCAGAUUUUGUUAAUGGAGGCAAAUUAACUUAUUUGAACUGAAAAAGAUAAACUAAAAAAACACUAAUAACUAAUUUAAAAAGAGCUUAUAAAAUUAAAUAAGUACUUAUAGCCGUUAGAUAAAUUAUACCAAACAAAUAUUUUAAAGGAAAGCUGAGUCUAUAUACAUUUUAUUCUUUUCCUAAAUUUAUAAAAUAGUUAUUGGACUACUUCUGCUACUGUUUUUUUUAGUUGAUCUCAUUCCUUAUUCAAUUGGCUGUUGAUAUAUAAAUUUCCAUUAUCUUUUCUCGAUCUUUUUUCUUUACUAGAAGACUGUAAAAGCAUGAAUCGAAAUCCAACGACAAUGUCCUUUUAAUAUUCUUGCUUGAAGAUAUAAGAAAAAAAUAGAUUAAAGAACUUCUAAGUAGGUGUAUAUAAGAAAGAGUUAUGCUACAAAUAUACAAUUGGAAUAAAUAAUUUACACCCCAAAUGAUAUGAACAAUGAUGUGUCAACAUUUAAUUGGUGAUGUAAUAUUAUCUUAUCAAUAAUGAAAGCUAAAACCAAUUGGCGCCUAAGAGGCUAAGACAUGUCAAUUAAUUGCUAAUGACACAUUACUAAUGAUACAAAGUAUAUAUUUACUUAAGAAAAUGGUGGAAAUUGACAAAUGAGAUGGUCUACUUUUAGCCUUUGAUGAUUUCUAUCCAAAAUCUGGCGUGGGCUCCGCAGCCGAGCCCACACCAGCGACUAUUUGGGUCUUCAAUGUAAAUGAGCAAAAGUUAUAGAGAAGAAAAAAAAAGAAAAGAAAUUUAUUUCAAUUUAUGAUAUGUUUUGAUUAGCAAUGCUAGUUCAUGUAAUGUCAUUUCAAAAGAAAAGUCACACCUGCUAAUUCAAUUUUUUUUUUAAUUUCUGAGAGGAAUUUAAAACUUUAAUUAUUAGGUGAUAUUUUCAUUUACCAUGAUAUUACUAGUAAUGUUGAAUCGUAUCAUUAACUACUUAAUAUGGUCGGUGACUUAACACAUACGAUACAUUAUUUCAACAUAAUUUAUAGUAAAAAUAGUCCAUUAUCUUAUGCAUGUCCUACAUGACUAAGAUAAUAGAAAUUAAUUUUAGUCAAUUUUGACCAAAACAAGUCAAGUUUUUAUUUUUGAAAUUAAUUUUAGUCUAAUUAGUUAAACAUACGCUUCCAAAAUAAUUCAUUUAGUUGUAACUAAAAACCAUCUCAUUUAUAUAGUCAACAUUGUUGCCCAUAAAAUUAAAAAGUUCAUAAUUUCGCAUGUCUAAUAUUAAUUCUCAAGGAAAAAUGCAAUUCACCCAUUAAUUUAGGUGUAACUUAACCAUGAAUAAUGCAUGUACGCUAGUAAAGAGAUGCAAAAAUGUUCUUCAUACAGAAUGUUUUCCAUAAAUAUUACAAAAUAUAAAAAAAAAUGUAAAAUGUUUGUUUUAAAGUGCCAAAAGAAAAUUAAUAAAAAUUCAACAAAACUUAUAAAUCGAGUAAAUGCGUCGCCUUACACAAACAUAAUUAUAAUUUGAUAAAAUUAUGCUUUUUUCUUAAAUAAAAUUCCAAUUUUCAAAUAAUAAUAAUAAAAAAAAAGAAAUCCUAAAACAUAAUUUUGACCUUAACAAUUACUCUACAAAUAUUUUGCAAAAGCUAGCCAACUCAUCUCAUUAUCCUCAUACAUGAACAAAUAAAAAUUGAAUCUGGUAUUGAGGGGACGUGCUCUUUUUUUCCGGCGAAUUUUCGAUGGCAGAUAAUCUACGGAGGCUGUUUAGCAUAGUGAGGAGCCUUGGCCCCCGUAGCAGUCAAAUAAAACGGCUUAGCUAUUGAAUAAUUUUGUGGCAUCCAUUCACACUACUUGUAUAGCGCUAUUAAAUCACUCAACGACUCCUGACUUAUUCAGUUGGACUCAACAAAUGUUGACUGAUUCAACUACAAGGAAAUGAAAUGAAAGACACAAACAUAAGAGACGCAUUAAUUUAUGUUGGACUUUUCAGCGUCACGGUCAGAGUCCACUGAUCAUGACUCAUGUGGCGCACGUUCAUUCGCAAUUAGCUAUAAUUAUCUCGAGUUCUAACCUUGCUUGAUCUCGAUUUUUGUGCAGAGUAAGGUGUUGCAUGCAGCCAUGGAAGCUCUCUUACUCUCCUCAGUUUCACCAUUUUAUAACACUCCAUUAAAACUUAAGUACAACAGAACCCACUUCACUGCUAAGCCCAAGCUCUUAAGCUUCCACUUCAGUCCACUAUCCACUUUAUCAUCUUUCUCAUCAAAACCAUCCAAACUCUUCACCACCUUAUCACCAUCAUCUCAAGUUUCAACUGAAGCCACAGACCCACCAGAGACAGAGCCUGAAACUAACUCACAAGAGGAAAAAUUUGAUUGGUUCUCACAGUGGUAUCCAUUGAUGCCGGUGUGUGAUUUGGACAAGAGAGUCCCCCAUGCAAAGAAAGUGUUGGGGCUUGAUGUCG